ACCAAACACCUGCAGCUUUGUGGGAGUAUUUACGUACGAUUUUACAUGCAGUAUACUAAAAAACUGUGGCGGCCUGGGAAUUUCCGGUUAAAACACUUUCUGAUAACACUUAUAUGACUGGUCAUCCUCUCUGGGUUGUUUUGUCAUUACUUAUUACACACCUUUUAUAACAAAAUGAAAGGUUGUGUACUUUCUCUCAAACACCCUUUCUGAUAACACGUAUAUGACUGUUGUUGUUGUUUUAUCAUUACUCAUUCACCCCUUUUAUAACAUAAUGCAAGGUUGUGACCUCUCUCACACACACACACAGGCUUAUCUGAUGGAUAAUGGCGGCACGUGCACACCCACACGCAUGCACGUGCACGAGCAUACCUUCCUACCCCCAGAAUGUGCAAUAUUAUUACUGCUCACCUUCCUUGGGUUGAUAAUCAUCUCCUUGGUCUUGUUUGUAUUCAGGGAGAGAUUGUUAUUAUGACACCAGGCCACAAGUUCCUCCACCUCUCUUCUGUACGCCGCCUCAGCCCCACCAAGGAUGAUUCCAAUUACCGUAAUAUCAUCUGCGUCUGCUUAUACGGCUUAAUUUUUCGUCUUUGUUCUCCAGUGAAGGAAAAGCGAGGCAUAAAAGUAUAUGGUGACCAAACGCUACACCUCCAGCCACCAGUCUGUCAGGCUCCUGAAUUGCAGAUGACACCACCCUCAUUGGACUCUGGUGGGAAUGAGACCGCCUACAGGUUGGAGAUUGACCAACUGGUGACGUGGUGCAGUCGAAACAACUUAGAGCUCAACGCCCUGAAGACAGUGGACUGUAGCCGACCCCUCUCACCCCGGACACAGACUCUUUGGCUCUUCUUCCAUCUGGCAGGAGGCUGCGGUCCAUCACGACCAAGACCUCUCGCCACACAAACGUUUUUUCCCGUCAGCAGUUGGUCCGAGCCCCCCAUUGACCCAAAUACUCCAUCCCGGAAACAUUAUGCACUUUGGAUUCUUUCACCAUGCAAACAUAUGGACAUACAUAUGUGAAUACAUUUCUGUUUAUAUUGUUAAUUCUUGCUUGUAUAUUUGUCUUAUUUUACUUUAUUCUUUAUUGCACCAAUGCACAGAGUCCUCUAUAUGUAACCUGUGGCAAUAAAAGGCUUCUGAUUCUGGUUUUGAGCAAA
ensembl:lncRNA